GUCCUUAUUGUAUACUACAGAUGCUGAAUUAACAAUGCUUUGAUGAACUGAGAAGAAUCUAGCAAGCACAGCCAUGGGUGCAGAUGAGGAAACAGAACGGAUUGUGAAGGCCAAUGACCGAAUCGCUAAUUCCAGAUUCAAAUAUGCG